CCUACGGGGGGCAGCAGUGAGGAAUAUUGGUCAAUGGCCGGAAGGCUGAACCAGCCAAGCCGCGUGAGGGACGAAGGUGCCAAGCAUUGUAAACUUCUUUUGUCAAGGGACAAUAUCAGGCACGAGAGCCUGACCGAGGGUACUUGAAGAAAAAGCAUCGGCUAACUCCGUUCCAGCAGCCGCGGUAAUACGGAGGAUGCGAGCGUUUUCCGGAUUUUUUGGGUUUAAAGGGUGCGUAGGCGGGCUUUUAAGUCAGCGGUAAAAGUCCGGGGCUCAACCCCGGCGAGCCGUUGAAAAUGGCUGUCUUGAGAUGUCGAGAGGUAUGCGGAAUGCGCAGUGUAGCGGUGAAAUGCUUAGAUAUUGCGCAGAACUCCGAUUGCGAAGGCAGCAUACCGGCGGCGAUCUGACGCUGAGGCACGAAAGCGUGGGUAUCGAACAGGAUUAGAUACCCUUGUAGUC
rnacentral:rRNA from 1 species